rnacentral:rRNA from 1 species
UACAGAGGCCUCGAGCGUUAGGCGGAAUCACUGGGCUUAAAGCGUGUGUAGGCGGAAUGGUAAGUACCUUGUGAAAUCCCACGGCUCAACCGUGGAACUGCUUGGUAUACUGCUUUUCUUGAGCAACCUAGGGGCGAGCGGAACAAAUGGUGGAGCGGUGAAAUGCGUAGAUAUCAUUUGGAACGCCAAUGGUGAAAACAGCUCGCUGGGGGUUUGCUGACGCUGAGACACGAAAGCCAGGGGAGCGAACGGG